CGCAGACUGAUGGAUUUUACCCGGAUACCGAGGAUCAUCUUACACCGGAUAGAUCUCCCACAAUGUUGGGCGUGUAAAGAGGAGGAGGUUCUGAAUGAGCCCAGCAACCAGCAGGAAAACUCCAAUUUAUAUCAAGAGAAUCCAGAACCUCUGCAGAUAAAACAAGAACCAGAACCUCUGCAGAUAAAAAAGGAGCAAGAGGAACCAGAACCUCUGCAGAUAAAACAGGAA